rnacentral:tRNA from 1 species
GCAGCUGUAGCUUAGCUGGUUAAAGCGCCGGAUUGUGGUUCCGGAGAUCGUAGGUUCGAGUCCUACCAGCUGUAC